UCAGUGAUGGCACAGUGGUUAAGGUAUUGGGCUACUGAUCAGAAAGUCGUGAGUUCAAAUCCCAGCACUGUC